AUACGGAGGGUCCGAGCGUUAUCCGGAAUCAUUGGGUUUAAAGGGUCCGUAGGCGGGAAUCUAAGUCAGUGGUGAAAUCUUGCAGCUCAACUGUAAAAUUGCCAUUGAUACUGGAUUUCUUGAAUUAGUGUGAAGUGGUUAGAAUGUGUAGUGUAGCGGUGAAAUGCAUAGAUAUUACACAGAAUACCAAUUGCGAAGGCAGAUCACUAACACUAUAUUGACGCUGAGGGACGAAAGCGUGGGGAGCGAACAGGAUUAGAAACCCGGGUAGUCC
rnacentral:rRNA from 1 species